UACGGAGGAUCCAAGCGUUAUCCGGAAUCAUUGGGUUUAAAGGGUCCGUAGGCGGGAUAAUAAGUCAGUGGUGAAAGUCUGCAGCUCAACUGUAGAAUUGCCAUUGAUACUGUUGUUCUUGAGUGUUUAUGAAGUGGUUAGAAUAUGUAGUGUAGCGGUGAAAUGCAUAGAUACCACCAAGAACCCCGAUUGCGAAGGCAGGUCACUGGGCCGCAACUGACGCUGAGGCGCGAAAGCGUGGGGAGCAAACAGG
rnacentral:misc_RNA from 1 species